rnacentral:lncRNA from 1 species
AUCAUCAUCCUGGUGGUGGGCAUUGGUUUGCUGCGGGUCUCUCUCCUAAUAUUCCAGGCAGAAACAGGGUCUCCAUGCAUAGCAGCCCACAUUUUCAGGAUUGAAGGAGCGGUGAGUCUUCGUUAUCCCAUCAUCAUAUCAGAUUUUAGUUGUUUUGUCCAUGGCUUUGUGUAACAUAAUCCCUUGAGAGUACUUGAGAAAGUUAGAUGAAGCUCUUGAGUCUUGGAGAAUAUUACUUGCAGUCAUGACUAUGAUCUAUGAAUUGUAGAUGUGAUCUUUGU